rfam:Polynucleobacter necessarius subsp. necessarius STIR1, complete genome.
GCGGGAUUAGUUUAAUGGUAAAACAGCAGAUUUCCAAUCUUCGGUCAAGAGUUCGAUUCUCUUAUCCCGCU